rnacentral:rRNA from 1 species
CAGCAGCCACGGGAAUACCAGCACCUCGAGUGGUCAGGAGGUUUAUUGGGCCUAAAGCAUCCGUAGCCGGUUGCAUAAGUUUUCGGUUAAAUCUAUGCGCUUAACGUAUAGGCCGCCGAAAAUACUGUGCAGCUAGGGAGUGGGAGAGGUACACGGUACUCGAUAGGAAGGGGUAAAAUCCUUUGAUCUAUUGAUGACCACCUGUGGCGAAGGCGGUGUACCAGAACACGUUCGACGGUGAGGGAUGAAAGCUGGGGGAGCAAACCGGAUUAGAUACCCCUGUAGUCCCUGUCUCUUAUAC